GCUUUUUGCUUCAAGAGUGUACUGCUGGCUUCUAUUGCAUUCUCUAGGACACUGAGACCCUUCUUAGGAAAGCUGCUUUCCAACUGGUCAUCAGUGAGGUUAUUGAACAGCCCUGGGCCCAUUAGUGAGCCCUCAGAUGCUGCACUCAGGACUUGCCUUCAGCUGCACCAAGGCCCCAGUAAAAUUGUGGCCGUUCUCUCAGCAGAUGAUAAGAGCCAUGAACGAGCUCCACGUCAAGGUGAAGUUCUCAAAAGCCUAGAAGCAGGAAGGAGAAAAUAAAGCCUCUGUUCAAAUGAGACACAUGAAUAUUAAAAAGUGCGUAACGUGUGGUUUCAGCCACAUAAUUUUCACAUACCACUGCCUCAUGGGCCCACAAACAUCCUCACAUGUUCAGUAAGGCUUUACUGCUGUGUGCUGGGAUGCCUGUAUGAAACCUGAGUGACCUCGGAGUGUCCCUGCAUAAGCCUGCAGCAGAGCUGGCUGCAGAACUAGAGGGGAAGAGGACUCAAACAUUGCAAGUGGAAAGCAGCACCAGUUAGGGCCCCCCAGAAAAACAUGCUUCUCUCAGGAGUGCUCAACUGGGAAAGAGCAUGUUCAGUAAUGGUGUGAAAAAUGGAACAACUUUAAAGGAAUAGAGCACAUGAGAGAGCCUGCAACAGAAGACUUACUCUCUUCCUAUUGAGCUGACCAUUGGAUAUCCAUUUGCAUCCAAAAAAUAAUUUGCAUUCAGUGUAUCCUGCUUUGCCACGCUUCUACUGUCUCUGCAUUAGAAUUGAUUUAUAAGCAGCUCCAUGAUUUUAACAGUAUAUACCAGGUGGAACCAGCACAACCUCAAGACUUCAAACAUCACACUUCUCCUUGGAAUAUAUAGAGUAUUUUAAUUUCUUUAUCAAUAACUGGGGAAUUUAUUCUAACCUCAAAUUUAGGCAACAAAUUUUUAUAGGUUUAAUGUUUUUUAUAAACUCUCAGAUAUAGAUUGUGGUGUUGUCCUUUCAUGUUCACAUGGAGAACAGAUAUUUGUUUUUAGAAUGUCCAGGUUUUAUAAUAUACACUACAUGACUGGCAAGUGCUCUACAAAAAUAAGUCAAUGAAAGAUUUAUGUCAUAGACAUAGAUACUAGGUCAUUCACUAGUUUUCAUGAGAUGGCAGAAUAAAUUAAUUUUCUGUCAUGGAAAUCCACUUAGACCACAUUUCUCCGAAAGGGACCUAUCUCAGUUGUGGUUUACGCUUAGCCAACCCAUUAAAACCUUUCUCUUUCUCUAUGUCUACUGAUUCUUAGCUCAGUUUCAUUCCUAUGUACUUUAAGAUUCUAACCAAGAUGUUUAAGUAGA